CUCAGUUUAGGUGGUCUCGAACACAACACUACCACUAAGACCCUCACGAACUCUACAGCUGCACCAUUAGAGCAUUCUGUCAGGCUGCAUCACCGCCUGGUACGGCAAUUGAUCUGCCCUCAACCGCACAGCUCUCCAGAGGGUGGUGCAGGCAGCCCAACGCAUCACAAUGCUGCCUGCCCUCCUGGACAUCUACAGCACAUGGUGUCAAAGGAAGGCCAAGAAGAUCAUUAAGGACCUCAGCCACCCGACUGUCCCGAGCCACUGACUGUUCACUCAGCUAUCGCCCAACAGAGACAGGACAGCUGCAUCUUAGCUCAGACCGAGAGGCUAAAAAACAGCUUGUAUUACCAGGCCAUCACUGUUGAACAGCUAUCGCUAGCCGUCUACCAGGUAACGUUAUAGGUAUUCACGUAUUCAGAUGUUCCUGAGUACUGGACAGACCAUAUUUUCCAGAAUACAUUGACAAGGAUCACUUUCGCUACAACAGAACAGAAACAUCAGGCUACGGGUCCUAUUGGAGGGCCCCUGAUAUCCGUAAGCUAACAUUGCCUUUUGGAAUCCCUGCUACUGUGGCUGAGCUUGGCACAAUUGUGCAAGAGACAUUUCAGCUUCAAAAAUAAUUUGUUCUACAAUACAUGGAGAGUGCAUAUGGAGAUCAGUUAUUUUCUUUGCUUGAUACUGAAGACCUAAAGGAUAAAGACACCAUCAAAGUGGUUGACCUUGACGGCCCACCUCUUAUUACUUUAAAUGUACAAGAACUCAAUAACAUCUCCACAGAUACAUCAGAUGAGAGGUGCUGCCUUGGAUCACGUGAUACUGUGAUAUUGUCCUCUCCAGAAAGUACCUCUUCCCAACGCUCCAGUCCGUGGCCAUCUGAGUUUGAAGUUCCUCGCUUUGCUUAUGAUACAGAGCUCAUUCUUGAGGCAGCUAAUGAAGCACACAUGAAGGAUGGAACACUACUCAACAAUCUGCCUGUGAAAUCAGACAUCCUGGAAAAACUGUCUGAAAGGAUCUUCCAGUUUAGAGCCUAUCCGUCAAGUCUACAAAUUUGGCAGGUUGCAGAAGCUUUGGUAAAAAAAACACCCAUGUCUUAAAGAGCUUGGGUCCUUCUCAGGCCUGUACGGAUGGCAAACCAGCCGAAAGUACAAGAUGGGCAAUUACAGAUCGAAACUGAGAGGAAUUGGUUGCCUAGAACUGGAAGUGAACUCUGUCAAGAGAAAAUCACCAGAGGACAAGCCCGUUGCCAAGAACAUAAACAAAACAAAGAAGGCGGAGGUAAAUGACCUCCCACCCCACCCUGCUGGAGAAACAGAUGAGACCCUGGAGAGGGAGCGAGUGGAGCUACUGGGAGAAGUACAAAUACGUGACAACCACAACAUUGUGAGUGCCAAAAUGGCAAGGACCUUCUCAUAUCGAAGACAAGAUGUCAUUCAGGCCCUUCCUGUGAAGGACUUCAAAGAUAGCUGGCCAGCCUUGUUUGAACCCAUUCAGAUUAAGGAAGACUUGAGAAGAAUUACAACUGUUGCUCUUGAGUCCACCUUUAUCCAGAAGCUGGACAAAUAUACACCAAAACUAUUGGACUUGUUUAAGACAAAAGGAGGUGCUGUAAAGGAGGACAUGCAGAAAAUCCUUGAAGUUCUGUAUGGGUGCAACACCAGCCAGGAAAGUGUAAUCCGUGGCCUGAUCAUAUACCUCGGUGAGAGGGUUGAAGAACUUAUCACAGAAUACAAGGUAAAGGUUUUUAUUUUUGUAUCCUUAUUUAUCUCUAAAUUAGAUCUUCCCUCUCUCUCCUCUCAAGUUGCACAGUUAAUCUAGUAGCCUAGUCUGUUAUUUCUUAUUUUCUUUCACCCCGGAUGCUGACGACACCAUGAUCCGAGAGAACCUUGUUCAGCAUGUGAUGAAGGUGUUCACUGUGAAGGAUCUGUACCAGAAUAUAGAGCAUGGGAUCUGCACCAGAAUACAGAGCAUGGGAUCUGCAUCGAAGGAGCAGAGGAGAGGAGGUCCUGGCUGGCCUCAUCUAUGGCUUAAAUCUAAAGUACCCCAAAGAACUGAAGUAUACCUUUGAGGUGUUCCAAAAACUAUUCUUGGAACUUGAUGAUCUCAGGACCUCCCCACGCGUCCAAGCUCUAAAGAUGAAGUUACUUGUUUUCAGAGAUAUCUAAAGAUACCAAUGAGAACUCUCAAAGGGCCACUCAAACUGUGGUCUAAACCCUACUCAGUAAGCUGAAAAGCUAGUUGCUAGGUGGUAUAAGCGCUACAGUUCCCAUGAUGCUCUUUGUCAGGUGAAGUCAUAAAAUACAUUGUCAAUUCCUGUUUAAAAAAACAGCUUUGUUUUAAAACUUAGUCCAUAUGCACUAGUGGAUAUCUGAGAUUAUUUGUCAGGUGCAAGCUAUAUGGAUGUAACUUUACCUAAGGAGGCAUGGUGGAGUUAUUCCCAGAAUGCUUAUACCUGUCAAAAAUAUGUCCAUAUGGGCUUCACUAGUGCAUAUAGAGUCAGGUUUAAGGGAGAAUUUGGCAUAUAUUUUGUAACAAUAUGUGCAAUGUAUGUUUUGAAAACCCAUGUUUUGAUUAAUAUAAAACCGUUUGAAUGAGGUUGUAUUUGAGCUAAAGUUCAUAUUGUGCUUUGUGUAAAGUCUAUUAAGACAAAUCGUUAAUUUAUGUUUGUUAAAAUAUUUCUUUGUUGUUAAGGGGUACACAGACCACCAGAAAUGUUUUGCCAAACUGUACAAGAUGUGAGGUCAAAGUGCUAAUCCCAAACUAUCACCUAAACCUUAUGCAGUUGUGAAGAUUUAAAAGUAUUUGUAGUCAGGUGCAAGCUAUCUGGAUGUAACUUUGCCUAAUGAGGCAAGGUGUAGUUGUACUCAGAUUGCUUACAGAUGACAAAAUAUGAUUGCCUAAAAAGUAGGGUUUAAGGGACAAUUUGAGAUUGAAGUUUGAAAAAAUUAUAAAAUGAUAACAUUUAUUUUAUUCAAAAUAAAGGUGUGGAAGUUUGAAGUU